rnacentral:rRNA from 1 species
UUUAGAGGAAGUAAAAGUCGUAACAAGGUCUCCGUUGGUGAACCAGCGGAGGGAUCAUUACAGAGUUAUACAACUCCCAUACCAUCUGUCAACCUACCCAGCUAUGCCUCGGCGUAAGCUCGGCCGGGGGCGGUCCGGCGCUACCCUGUAGCGGCGGCCGCGCCACCUCGGCCGCGCCCGCCGGCGGUACACUAAACUAUGUUUUACUUUACCUUCUGAGCGUCUUAUUUUAAUAAGUUAAACUUUCAACAACGGAUCUCUUGGUUCUGGCAUCGAUGAAGAACGCAACCGAAAAUGCGAUAAAUAAAGGUGAAUUGCAGAAUUCCAGUGAAUCAUCGAAUCUUUGAACGCACAUUGCGCCCCAUCAGUAUUCUGGUGGGCAUGCCUGUUCGAGCGUCAUUUCAACCCUUAAGCCUAGCUUAGUGUUGGGACUCUACUGUACUGUAGUUCCCCAAAGACAGUGGCGGAGCGGCAGUGGUCCUCUGAGCGUAGUAAUUCAUUUCUCGCUCCUGUCAGGCCCUGUCCUCCCGCCGUAAACCCCCAUCUUUUAGUGGUUGACCUCGGAUCAGGUAGGAAUACCCGCUGAACUUAAGCAUAUCAAUAAGCGGAGGAAAAGAAACCAACAGGGAUUCCCCUAGUAACGGCGAGUGAAGCGGGAACAGCUCAAAUUUGAAAUCUGGCCCUUGGGUCCGAGUUGUAUUUGCAGAGGAUGCU